rnacentral:lncRNA from 1 species
UUGUCGCUGAAUUCAUGUGAUUAUUGAAAUUUAACAGGAAAGAAGGCAAAAAAGCAACUAAGUUACAGUGUAUUCUCCGCAUGGAAUAUGCAAUUCAGUAAAAAUGGCAACAUGGGAACCCUGCCAUAGGAAUGUUAAACCACAAGGUUAACUUGGGAUGAGCCCAACUUUCUUAUUCAUUGAAGAUUUUUAUUUACCCACUGUAUGUGUAUGUGUGUGUGUGUGUGUGUGUGUGUGUUUGCAGAUUAGAUCCAGCCUGUGUACAGUGUAGGUAAUAAAAGCAGAGCCUUUCAAACUAUGCCAUAGCUAGUUUGACCUGACCUACCUGCUGGUGGCGCUGUGCUGCAUGGUCGAGUGGAGCUGACUCUGGUCUGGUAGGGUCCCAGCUUUGGCUGUUGGCCUUGUUGACACAGAAUGAUGGCAGAAGCAUAGCCUCCAGCUGUCCUGGUGUGUGGUGUUUCUUUGAAGAUUUGUACACCAGACAAGAACUCCUGGCAGACAGCAUUAUAAAGUGGGGCUUUGUAGCUGAGAUUUCUUUGUCCUCUGGGUGGCCUGGGAAAUGUCCCUGUUCUGGCUGAGUUACCUGUAGAGGAUUAUAGUCACAAAAUAGCUCUGGGCCUGGGGGGCUUGUCUCUGCUGCAGCCCUGUGUUUCUGAGCACUGCUUGGCUGCCUGUAACAGUACAUCAUCCUGGGUGAUGAAUUCUGUUUGCUUUUUUCAGAAAGGAUCUCACUUGGUAGCCAGGGGCUGGUCUGGAACUCAUUUCACUGACCAUGCCGGCCUUGAACUUGUGGCAAUCCUGCCUCAUUCUCCUGUGUGCCAAGAAUACUGGUGUGUGUGUGCCAUCCAUGCCUAAGAUUUUAUGGGUCCACUAACAACUGAAGGGGGGGGGGCUGUCUCUGACUCUGUUGCCUGCCAUUGGAUCCCCUUCCCCUAACCAGACUGCCUGGUUGGGUCUCAGUGGGAGGGAAUGUGCUUAGCCCGCUGGGACUGGAUGUCCCAGGGUGGGGUGGUGCCCAAGAGGGACUUUGCCUUUUCUGAGAAGGGAGAGGGGUUUUGUAAGGGUGUGGCUGGAAGGAGAGGAUGGAGGGGGGCUGUGAUCAAGAUGUAAUGUGAAUAAAAAUAAUAAU